GCAGCUGAGCGAAGCCCUCAGGUCAAAGCCACCAUGCAUCUGCUCCUUGUUGUCCUUUCCCUCCUGGCCCUGCCCUUAGAGGGCGUCUCUGAGGUGCGGCUGGAGCAGGAGGGAACGGAGCUGGUGAAGCCCACAGAGUCUGCCUCGCUCACGUGCAUUGUCUAUGGUGCUGCCAUUUGGGAUCACGCUUGGAGUUGGGUCCAACAGCGUCCUGGCAAAGGUCUGGAGUGGCUGGGGCAUAUCCAAGGGAAUGGAAACCUGCAAUACAAUCCAGCCUUCAGGAACCGAAUCAGCAUCACCAGGGACAACUCUAAUAACCGGGUGUAUUUGCAACUGAACAACAUAGGAGCAGCCGACACAGCCACGUACUACUGUGCCAAGGGAGCAGGGAUCAUAAGAACACAGUGA